rnacentral:rRNA from 1 species
UACGGGGGAUGCGAGCGUUAUCCGGAUUUAUUGGGUUUAAAGGGCGCGUAGGCGGGACGACAAGUCAGCGGUAAAAGACUGCAGCUAAACUGUAGCACGCCGUUGAAACUGUCGACCUGGAGACGAGACGAGGGAGGCGGAACAAGUGAAGUAGCGGUGAAAUGCAUAGAUAUCACUUGGAACCCCGAUAGCGAAGGCAGCUUCCCAGGCUCGGUCUGACGCUGAUGCGCGAGAGCGUGGGUAGCGAACAGG